AUUUUGUAAAUCUCCAGAUGAAGCCUGAAGCUUAACUCCAGAAAGUCUGAAGAGACUGCAAGACUUGAGAUCGGGUGAGGUUAAACGUACUUUCAGGGUAGGGGUAAAAUCCUGUAAUCCCGGAAGGACGACCAGUGGCGAAAGCGUUUAACUAGAACGAAUCUGACGGUAAGGAACGAAGGCUAGGGUAGCAAACCGGAUUAGAUACCCGGGUAGUCCUAGCUGUAAACAUUGCCCAUUUGAUGUUGCUUUCCCGUUGAGGGAAGGCAGUGUCGGAGCGAAGGUGUUAAAUGGGCCGCUUGGGAAGUAUGGUCGCAAGACUGAAACUUAAAGGAAUUGGCGGGGGAGCACCGCAACGGGAGGAAUGUGCGGUUUAAUUGGAUUCAACGCCGGAAAACUCACCGGGAACGACCUGUGCAUGAGAGUCAACUUGACGAGCUUACUCGAUAGCAGGAGAGGUGGUGCAUGGCCGUCGUCAGCUCGUACCGUAGGGCGUUCACUUAAGUGUGAUAACGAGCGAGACCCACAUCUUUAAUUGCAAAUGUAUAUGGGAAUAUGCAUGCACUUUAGAGAAACCGCCAGCGCUAAGCUGGAGGAAGGAGUGGUCGACGGCAGGUCAGUACGCCCCGAAUUUCCCGGGCUACACGCGCAUUACAAAGAACGGGACAAUACGUUGCAACCUCGAAAGAGGGAGCCAAUCGCGAAACCCGUCCAUAGUUAGGAUUGAGGGCUGUAACUCGCCCUCAUGAAUCUGGAUUCCGUAGUAAU
rnacentral:rRNA from 1 species